UACAGAGGUGGCAAGCGUUGUUCGGAAUUACUGGGCGUAAAGGGCGCGUAGGCGGCCUUCUAAGUCAGACGUGAAAUCCCCCGGCUUAACCUGGGAACUGCGUCUGAUACUGGGAGGCUAGAGUAUGGGAGAGGGAUGUAGAAUUCCAGGUGUAGCGGUGAAAUGCGCAGAUAUCAGGAGGAACACCGGUGGCGAAGGCGGUUCUCUGGGCCUGUACUGACGCUGAGACGCGAAAGCGUGGGGAGCAAACAGG
rnacentral:rRNA from 1 species